rnacentral:ncRNA from 2 species
UACGAAGGGGGCUAGCGUUGCUCGGAAUCACUGGGCGUAAAGGGCGCGUAGGCGGACAUUUAAGUCAGGGGUGAAAGCCCGGAGCUCAACUCCGGAAUGGCCUUUGAUACUGGGUGUCUCGAGUCUGGUAGAGGUUGGUGGAACUGCGAGUGUAGAGGUGAAAUUCGUAGAUAUUCGCAAGAACACCGGUGGCGAAGGCGGCCAACUGGACCAGCACUGACGCUGAGGCGCGAAAGCGUGGGGAGCAAACAGG